ACAUGGCUCACUGUAGCAGCCCGGUGUUGGAGGUCGGGCAUGCUCCUGAAACGUCCACUGCGAACUGAUCCACUGGCCCCGAAAUGAGCGCGAUUAAGAUGAAAAUACACACAAGCAAGACACAGAAACGUUUUUAAAUCGUAUUUUCGCUCAGCUGUUAACCUGCGAUUUGACGCAAACCGUGGUGGAACCGCAGAAGAGCUUUGGGAAGUGGCCGUCCGUUUUGUCCUACAAAGGCGGCGGGUGUUUGACAGCGGGAGGGCCCGACGUUAGGAAACCGCUGAGGCUGGAGGAGGAGGAGGCAGGAGAAGAAGGAAGAAGGCUCUGAAGACUCAAUGAAACAUUAAGGAGUCAUUUUUGCUGAGGGAAGCGAGCUGAAUCAUGAGGAAGGACGUGAGGAUACUCCUUGUUGGGGAGCCCAAGGUGGGGAAGACGUCACUGAUCAUGUCUCUGGUUAGUGAGGAGUUUCCUGAUGAGGUUCCUCUCAGAGCUGAAGAGAUCACCAUCCCAGCUGAUGUGACCCCAGAGAGGGUUCCCACACACAUCGUGGAUUACUCUGAAGCAGAGCAGACUGAUGAGCAGCUGUAUCAAGAAAUAUCCAAAGCAAACGUGAUCUGCAUAGUUUAUUCAGUUAACAACAAGAAGUCCAUCGAAAAGGUGACGAGCCACUGGAUUCCUCUUAUAAACGACCGCACAGAUAAAGACAGCAGGGUACCACUGAUUCUCGUGGGGAACAAGUCGGACCUGGUGGAGCACAGCAGCAUGGAGACCAUCCUGCCCAUCAUGAAUCAGUACCAGGAUAUUGAGACCUGUGUAGAGUGUUCUGCCAAAAACCUGAAGAACAUCUCUGAGCUUUUCUACUACGCCCAGAAGGCUGUUCUCCACCCGACAGGACCUCUGUACUGCCCAGAGGAGAAGGAGUUGAAACCUUCCUGCAUUAAGGCUUUAACUCGGAUAUUUAAAAUCUCCGACCUGGACAACGACGGGGUCCUGAACGACAACGAACUCAACUUCUUCCAGAGAACCUGUUUCAAUACGCCUUUGGCACCUCAAGCCUUAGAAGAUGUGAAGAACGUGGUGAGGAGGAACAUGACCGACGGAGUCAGCGAUAACGGACUCACCCUCAAAGGCUUCCUCUUCCUGCACACUCUGUUCAUCCAGCGAGGUCGACACGAAACCACGUGGACGGUGCUGAGGAGGUUCGGAUACGACGACGACCUGGAGCUCACGCAGGAAUAUCUGUUCCCUCUGAUAAAAGUCCCUCCAGACUGCACCACUGAGCUAAACCACAACGCUUACCUCUUCCUGCAGAGUGUCUUUGACAAACACGACAAAGACAGAGACUGUGCGCUUUCCCCAGAGGAAGUGAAGGACCUGUUCAAAGUGUUUCCCUACAUGCCCUGGGGUCCAGAUGUCAACAACACGGUGUCCACCAAUGAUGAGGGAUGGAUCACAUACCAGGGAUACCUCUCCCAGUGGACGUUAACAACAUAUCUGGACGUCCAGAGGAGUUUGGAGUAUUUAGGUUACCUUGGCUACUCCAUCAUCUAUGAGCAGGAGUCCCAAGCUGCUGCUAUUACUGUGACGCGUAACAAGCGCAUAGAUCUGCAGAAGAAACAAACUCAGCGAAGCGUCUUCCGGUGCAACGUGUUGGGGUCGCGCGGCAGCGGGAAAAGUGGCUUCCUGCAAGCCUUCCUCGGCAGAAACCUGCAGAGACAGAUGAGGAUCAGAGAAGAACACAAGUCCUUCUAUGCCAUCAGCACCACCUAUGUUUACGGUCAGGAGAAGUACCUGUUGCUGCACGAGGUGAUGCCAGAUUUCGACAUCCUGUCCGAGCCCGACCUGUCCUGCGACGUGGUCUGCCUUGUGUACGACGUCAAUGACCCUCAGUCCUUCGAGUACUGUGCUAACGUCUACAAGGAAUGCUUCAUGGACAGCAAGACGCCCUGCGUCGUGGUCGCUGCCAAGUCCGACCUGCACGAGGUUCGGCAGCAGUACAGCCAGUCGCCGCUCGACUUCUGCCGCAAGCACAAGCUCCACCCACCGCAGUCGUUCACGUGCAACACGGCCGAAGCGCCCAGUAAGGACCUCUACACCAGACUCACCACCAUGGCCAUGUACCCCUCCAGCCGGCCGGGCCUCUCUCUGUUCAGUCUGGCACAUGGAGCUGUGGCCAGCCUGUGCCGGCUAACGCCCAGGCUGGUAGCCAGGGAGGUGUUCAUAUCCUUGUUUCUGGCUGCCGCUUUUCCUCUUCCUCUUGCAUCUCUUAACCUUUUUUUAGCUGACUUACUUGUUCUCUAGCUUUUAAAUUAAACCCAUGUUGGUGCUUAGCGAAAUGCUGCCAUCUACUGGUGCAUGAGAGGUUUUGUCUCUGUCUCUAUAAUAACCGGAGCUCAGUGUUUUGAAUCUGGUGGGAGUUUAACCAGAGUGAGGGGAGUUGUCUGGUGUGGGAAUGUUUCUGAUAAAUUUGAUCCCGAAUGUAACCGGACCGUGCCACGUUUCAUUCAGUGCUAACCUUUUAUUGUUUUGAUUCCUUUUUCUUCUUCUCGGUUAUUAAAGUACCAUGUAGCUGUAGAUCAUCACAGAACGACUUCAGGAAAUGCUUAGGAUUCAUUAAAGUUUCACACCAGGACAGCCAGAGUGUUCAAAAAGAUGAAUCUGAUAAUUGAUGAAAGAAUCAUAACAUCUUCAGGCAAUAAUAAUAAUAGGUUUAUCAGGGGACAGUAUUACUUUCCAGGCUGGCUAUUUUUGGUGUGAACUGCGUUUAUUUGCUGUGUUUGUGGAGCUUUUUGUGUUUGAAUUCUAAAGAGCUGUGGAGCUGGGUGAAACUGGUUUUUAUUUCAAUCAUUAUUCUUUUUUGUUCUAUCGUUUUAUAAGAUUCAAAGGGAACUUUUCUGUCACUACUUCUAAUUCAUUGAUUUGAUCAAAUUCAGCAACCUUUAACAGUGUAAAGCUUGAAGAUUUUAGAUUUAUACACAUUUAAAAAAAAAAAAAUUUAUGUUUACUUCUGAAUCCACUGUCAGUUAUUGUAGAAAUUAACUUUUUUUAAAUGCAACAUUAAAUUAUAGUUUAAUGCAAUCAUACAAUUAUAUUAUAGGAUGCAUUAAGAUUCUUCCAUUGUUUUGAAUUUGGAAGGAAUUCAGUGAUGAACUUUUAACAAAAGUGCUUUGCAAUUAAUACAAUUUUUCUAUUGUCAUUGCAAAUGAAAUCAACCAAUUAACAUUUAAUAUAGAACAUAGCUAUGUGUUCAUAACUAAAAUGUUAAACAUGAGAGUAUCAGUAUAAGGGCUCAAAGGGAUUCACUGGGCGAAAAGUCUAAUUAUGAUUUGUUUAAAAUAUAUAUUUUUUGAAGAAUCUUGGUCAUUUUGAGGUUCACUGAUGUUUGAUAUUAGUUUCCUUUUUUUAUUAGUGAUAAUAAACUAGAGGUCAUAAUUAGGAUUUCCCCUCCACUCCCUGAGAGUUUUAGGAUCUCGAUCACCUAAAUCUCUACUGGGGUGAUCAUUGAAUGCCGACUUACUGGCCACUUUAUUAAGUACACCUUGCUGCUACCAGGAUGGACAGUUUUUUUUUUCUGUGGAAAAGACUCAACAAGGUUUCUGGAACAUUCCUUGUUUGCGAUUGUAUAGCUGGUUGAGGUUUUGUCGUUGCUGUUUCUACCAAUCGCUCCUAUAGUACUACAUAGCAGUGAGAUCUAUUGAUUAAUCACUUCAAACAACAACAAGCCACUUUCUGACCCCUGACUUGAAAUGUUUGCAUUUAGUCUCUUAAAUCUUUGUUUUUCCACGUUUUGAUGUGGAGGAACAAAAGUCGUCCUUGCCACAUCCUGAUGCCAAAACCCACUAAGUCUCUGCUUUCUGACUGGCAGCCAAAUCGGUGUAUCUAAUAAAGUUGCUCAAACAGUCUUGUGAUUAUUAAACUUCAUGCACUGAUAUUGAUAUUCCUGUAUCAUGGAGGUUAAAAUUAAACAAACCACCUGGGAUUUAAUAUGAAUGUUAAUGCCGUUUGUAAAAUCCUAAUUAUAAAACAGUAACAGAUGCACCACUAAUCUAUAGUUGCAGCCCCGGUGUGUAUAAUUCUGCAGUAUCUCCCAGCUUCACUUGCUGUGUGGCGUUGUGACUGUGUUUGUGGGAACGCUGCUGGGCUGGGUGGAAGUAGCUCUGAGCUUCCUGCUGUCAGGGGGGGAUUUCAGGCUGGUGCUGCAGGUUAGACGGUCAUCUCCAACAUGGAGGAGAGCCCGCUUAUAUGAAGGCCUCCGCUUGAGCAGCCAGCUUCUCCACAAAGGCACAUGGCCCAGGCGGACCUGAAGAACUCCACCUUCUGGCUGAGGGCCAGCCUGGGUGCCACCGUGUUCGCAGUGUUGGGCUUCGCCAUGUACAAAGUGCUUCUAAAACACCGGUGAUGGCGCGGCAGGAGACGGCGGCUACUUUCCACUUUUUGUUCCUUUCUACCUGAGAGACUAAAAUAUAUAAAAAAAAAAAAAGAAAAAAGA